CCAUCCUGGCGAUCUGAGUAUAAAUAGUGCCCACUUUGAGUUUUCACUGCCAUAUCGUUACUGCAACUUGGAACAAACCGCGAUGAUGUUUAAACCUACUAUACUGACGUUGGGGCUGCUCUUGUGUGCUUUCCUGGCAUACGCCUCUGCCCGGCCCGAUUCAGCGCCACCACUUCUGUUGGCAAGUCUUUCAGGAACAUUAACAAAGCCAGAAUAAAACACAAAUAAGCAAAUCGGAAUAAAUUCUUUCAAAA